rnacentral:rRNA from 1 species
UGGGGAAUAUUGGACAAUGGGCGAAAGCCUGAUGCAGCAACGCCGCGUGAGGGAUGACGGCCUUCGGGUUGUAAACCUCUUUUAGUAGGGAGGAAGCGAAAGUGACGGUACCUGCAGAAAAAGCACCGGCUAACUACGUGCCAGCAGCCGCGGUAAUACGUAGGGUGCAAGCGUUGUCCGGAAUUAUUGGGCGUAAAGAGCUCGUAGGCGGUUUGUCGCGUCUGCUGUGAAAUCCCGAGGCUCAACCUCGGGUCUGCAGUGGGUACGGGCAGACUAGAGUGUGGUAGGGGAGAUUGGAAUUCCUGGUGUAGCGGUGGAAUGCGCAGAUAUCAGGAGGAACACCGAUGGCGAAGGCAGAUCUCUGGGCCAUUACUGACGCUGAGGAGCGAAAGCAUGGGGAGCGAACA